rnacentral:rRNA from 1 species
CCGAUAGCGUAUAUUAAAGUUGCUGCAGUUAAAAAGCUCGUAGUUGAAUUUCGGGACCAUCAUGUCGGUCGUGCCUCGGUACGUACUGGUAUUGUUGGUUUCUCCCUUCUGACGAACCAUGAUGUCAUUUAUUUGGUGUUGUGGGGAAUCAGGACUGUUACUUUGAAAAAAUUAGAGUGUUUAAAGCAGGCUCACGCUUGAAUACAUUAGCAUGGAAUAAUGAAAUAGUACGUUUGAUUCUAUUUUGUUGGUUUCUAGGAUCGACGUAAUGAUUAAUAGGGAUAGUUGGGGGCAUUAGUAUUCAAUUGUCAGAGGUGAAAUUCUUGGAUUUAUUGAAGACUAACUACUGCGAAAGCAUUUGCCAAGGAUGUUUUCAUUAAUCAAGAACGAAAGUUAGGGGAUCGAAGACGAUCAGAUACCGUCGUAGUCUUAACCAUAAACUAUGCCGACUAGGGAUCGGAUGAUGUUAAUUUUUUAACGACUCAUUCGGCGCCUUACG